rnacentral:rRNA from 1 species
GAAGUAAAAGUCGUAACAAGGUUUCCGUAGGUGAACCUGCGGAAGGAUCAUUAUCGAGAGAGGCGUCAGCCUCGGGGGCUUCGGCCCCCAACUCUUCACCCCGUGGCUACACGAUCCGUGAUGCUUUGGCGGUUUAAAUCGCCGCCGAAACCCCAAAACUCUGAUAUCAUGUGUGGUCCGAGUCAUAUUCAAUAACUAAAACUUUCAACAACGGAUCUCUUGGUUCUGGCAUCGAUGAAGAACGCAGCGAAAUGCGAUAAGUAAUGUGAAUUGCAGAAUUCAGUGAAUCAUCGAAUCUUUGAACGCACAUUGCGCCCCUUGGUAUUCCGAGGGGCAUACCUGUUCGAGCGUCAUUACACCCCUCAAGCUUGGCUUGGUGUUGGGCUUGCGUCCUCCGGGACGGGCCCGAAUGGCAGUGGCGGUCCGACGUAGACUUCAAGCGCAGUGAAAUCCGAUCGCUUGGAAGGCUCGCCGGGCCCUCGCCAGACAACCCAUAUCAUUCAAACCGUUUGACCUCGGAUCAGGU